rnacentral:rRNA from 1 species
GAUGAACGCCGGCGGUGUGCCUAAUACAUGCCAGUCGAACGCGUUGGCCCAAUUGACUGAUGGUGCUUGGACCUGAUUGAUUUUGGCCGCCAACGAGUGGCGGACGGGUGAGUAACACGUAGGUAACCUGCCCAGAAGCGGGGGACAACAUUUGGAAACAGAUGCUAAUACCGCAUAACAGCGUUGUUCGCAUGAACAACGCUUAAAAGAUGGCUUCUUGCUAUCACUUCUGGAUGGACCUGCGGUGCAUUAGCUUGUUGGUGGGGUAACGGCCUACCAAGGCGAUGAUGCAUAGCCGAGUUGAGAGACUGAUCGGCCACAAUGGGACUGAGACACGGCCUUUACUCCUACGGGAGGCAGCAGUAGGGAAUCUUCCACAAUGGGCGCAAGCCUGAUGGAGCAACACCGCGUGAGUGAAAAAAGGUUUCGGCUCGUACAGCUCUGUUGUUAAAGAACAACACGUAUGACAGUAACUGUUCAUACGUUGACGGUAUUUAACCAGAAAGUCACGGCUAACUACGUGCCAGCCCCCGCGGUAAUACGUAGGUGGCAAGCGUUAUCCGGAUUUAUUGGGCGUAAAGAGAGUGCAGGCGGUUUUCUAAGUCUGAUGUGAAAGCCUUCGGCUUAACCGGAGAAGUGCAUCGGAAACUGGAUAACUUGAGUGCAGAACAGGGUAGUGGAACUCCCUGUGUAGCGGUGGAAUGCGUAGAUAUAUGGAAGAACACCAGUGGCGAAAGCGGCUACCUGGUCUGCAACUGACUCUGAGACUCAAAGCAUGGGUAGCGAACAGG